AUGCUGCUCUGGAAGUGUGAUGGGUAUUUUCCUUCCCUUCCGGUCUAUGACUUCCGAGCCAUGUUGAACACGGAAAAUAAAGCAGACACAUCACAGUGAAUUAUUGGGUUCAUUCACCAGCAGUUUUCAGGCUGAAAGCACAGUUCUUUGCUUGCUGCUUGGCUGCUCCACUGACAGGUCCUCAGAUGAAUCAUCCAGCUCGACGGCUGGCUGUGAUUGUAGCCAGUAUUAUCAUUUUGUGAUCUUAAUUCAUGUUAAUAUUUUGCCUGGGAAUCAGUCCAUCUGUGUUCAGCCCCCAGCUGUAUUUUGUUGAGAAAGAAUAGGGCAACUGUGUACAGCAUGUUUCUACGCAUGAAAAGCAACCAUGUGCCUUCAGUGGCUUUUAAUUUACAGUACAGAAAAACAACAGCAUGAGCCAGUAAAAGUCAGAGGGCACAGCAUGAACGUCUCUGUCUGACAAACUGCAGCAGCUCUGAAGCCAGCUUGGUUGCACCUGUGUAUAUAGGGAAAGCACUUAGAAACCCCCUGCCCCCAUCAUACCUCAAAGCAAAAACAAUCAAAAUGAGUCCCUUUUGAAAAUCUGCUGACAAAUUUUCCACAAAAAUGUGUGUGUCAUUUUUCCCUUGGUCAGCCAUGAUUUUACUCUCUACAAAAGUGGUUUUCAACCUUUUUUCAUUUGCAGACCCCUUUUGAAAUUUCAAAUGGAGGUGCAGACCCCUUUGAAUUGUAAGUGUGGGUAUUCACAUGCUUUUGAUUAUAGUCAUCUUUCACGGACCCCUUAGGUAUAAUCUGUGGACACCCAGGAGUCUACAGAUCAAAGGUUGAAAACCAUUGCUCUACAUAAUCACUUAGGCUGCUUACAGAUGUUUAAAAAAAUGGCACUUUAAACUUGGCACACCUGGAUCAAGCCCAGCACAUGCACAGCAGAGGUAUCGGGUUAUUUUGACCUGGCUUGCCCAAUGUCUGUAUAAAUCAGGCACUUCACUGGGAUUUUUGGUGCUUUUCUUAAAUGGUUGAUUGAAUCUGGUUUAGAUAAAAGUGCCAAAAAGCCCCACCGAAGUGCACUGUGGAGCUGGGUCAAACUAAUGUGCUGUGGUUUUUGUUUUGUUUUUUCAUAUCUAUGAACAGCCUAAGAAACAGGCUAUCUCUAGAGAGCACCCCAUAGUAGUUAGUAGUGGGUAGGGCAUAACUAUCCACCCAAGAAGACUUCUUCCUUUCUUUCAGGGGCAAGUCAUUUACUACUGGCUACAGCAGCAGAAGGCUGCCUGCCUGCCUGUCGGUGGUAGUUUGGACAGAUCAGGCUGCAAUAACACCAGUAAUGUUUCCUUUAUUGCCUUUGCUGAAGCUGUUCAGUGAGGAGGGGAUUCUGUUGUUCAAAUAAUAAAAAUAAAGGUGUUGUGCCAAAA